GACGUAGGGCGCGAGCGUUUGUCCGGAUUUAUUGGGCGUAAAGAGCUCGUAGGCGGCUUGUCGCGUCGUCCGUGAAAACCUGCAGCUCAACUGCAGGCUUGCGGUCGAUACGGGCAGGCUAGAGUUCGGUAGGGGAGACUGGAAUUCCUGGUAUAGCGGUGAAAUGCGCAGAUAUCAGGAGGAACACCGGUGGCGAAGGCGGGUCUCUGGGCCGAUACUGACGCUGAGGAGCGAAAAGCGUGGGGGAGCGAACAGG
rnacentral:rRNA from 1 species